rnacentral:rRNA from 1 species
GAUGAAUGCUGGCGGCGUGCCUAACACAUGCAAGUCGAGCGGCAGCGCGAGUAGUUUACUACUUGGCGGCGAGCGGCGGACGGCUGAGUAACGCGUGGGAACGUGCCCCAAAGUGAGGGAUAACGCACCGAAAGGUGUGCUAAUACCGCAUAUGGUCUUCGGAUUAAAGAAUUUAUUCGCUUUGGGAGCGGCCCGCGUCGGAUUAGGUAGUUGGUAGGGUAAUGGCCUACCAAGCCGACGAUCCGUAGCUGGUCUGAGAGGACGAUCAGCCAGACUGGAACUGAGACACGGUCCAGACUCCUACGGGAGGCAGCAGUGAGGAAUCUUCCACAAUGGGCGAAAGCCUGAUGGAGCAACGCCGCGCGCAGGAUGAAGGCCUUCGGGUUGUAAACUGCUUUUAUAAGUGAAGAAUAUGACGGUAACUUAUGAAUAAGCACCGGCUAACUACGUGCCAGCAGCCGCCGUAA